rnacentral:miRNA from 1 species
AGGUUAGUGCAAAAGUAAUUGCAGUUUUGUCAUUACUUUUAACGGCAAAAACAGCGAUUACUUUUGCACCAA